AUUGAACGCUGGCGGCAGGCCUAACACAUGCAAGUCGAACGAGUGGCGGACGGGUGAGUAAUGUCUGGGAAACUGCCUGAUGGAGGGGGAUAACUACUGGAAACGGUAGCUAAUACCGCAUAGCAUCGGAUGUGUCCAGGUGGGAUUAGGUAGUAGGUGGGGUAAAGGCUUACCUAGGCGACGAUCCGUAGCUGGUCUGAGAGGAUGACCAGCCACACUGGAACUGAGACACGGUCCAGACUCCUACGGGAGGCAGCAGUGGGGAAUAUUGCACAAUGGGCGCAAGCCUGAUGCAGCCAUGCCGCGUGUGUGAAGAAGGCCUUCGGGUUGUAAAGUACUUUCAGCGGGGAGGCGUUACUCACAGAAGAAGCACCGGCUAACUCCGUGCCAGCAGCCGCGGUAAUAC
rnacentral:rRNA from 1 species